rnacentral:SRP_RNA from 1 species
GCCGGGUGCGGUGGCUCAAGCCUGUAAUCCCAGCACUUUGGGAGGCCAAGGGGGGCAGAUCAACUGAGGUCAGUAGAUCAAGACUAGCCUGACGAACAUGGUAGAACCCCAUCUCGGCCGGGUGCGGUGGCUCANNNNNNNNNNAGUUGAUCUGCCCCCCUUGGCCUCCCAAAGUGCUGGGAUUACAGGCUUGAGCCACCGCACCCGGCCGAGAUGGGGUUCUACCAUGUUCGUCAGGCUAGUCUUGAUCUACUGACCUCAGUUGAUCUGCCCCCCUU